rnacentral:misc_RNA from 1 species
GCCCACUUUCUAAUUAAGGCCUGCAAUCAAAGGGUGUAAAAAGCACAUGAUAAAUAAAUUUCAACUGUAUGUACUUCAUGCAAUUAUACGUGCAAGCAGUUACAGCAAAUAGUAAAUUCCAACCAAAGACAUAGUUUAUCUCCUGCAGGACACAAAGCAAGACUUAAAGAAUGAUCACCACCACCAAAGAAAGCAGACUUUAUAAGAGCUUAGUCCAUCCCAUUGCAAUAGCCACUGUAUCUAACUUAAAAUUUUAGCACAUGAUCCAUUUUAACCCAAUUGGCUAGGAUCCUUUCCAGUUACAGACCUAUCCGUCACCACUGGAUAAAGAAUGCAUUCUUACAAGCUAGUUCCAAGAAGGUAGCAAAAGGAAAGAGGCAUAAAUAUUGAAUUCCAUUCCUUGUUUUGAAAAUAUUUUUAAUGCAUAAAAAUGGCAUUUGUACAACUUUUCUUUCUUUUCUUUUCUUUUUGGAUAGGAAACAAGUUUCAACUUCAGAAGCACUCAUGCAGCUCCUAAGACAUUCACAUAUUAUAGCAUAAUGGCCAAUAAACAUAAAACAAGUUUCAAAAGUGCCAGUUGGAAUACAAAUGUAACAUAACUGAUAGAUCAAUGUAACCAACCUGCCUAUUCAAAU